rnacentral:rRNA from 1 species
GGAUUAGAUACCCUGGUAGUCCACGCCGUAAACGAUGAUCACUAGACGUUGGUCCUGCUCUGCAGGAUAAGUGUCGUAGCUAACGCGUUAAGUGAUCCGCCUGGGGACUACGGUCGCAAGAUUAAAACUCAAAGGAAUUGACGGGGGUCCGCACAAGCGGUGGAACAUGUGGUUUAAUUCGACACUACGCGAGGAACCUUACCUAGGUUUGACAUGUAUAUGAUCGCUCUAGAGAUAGAGUUUUUUCUGGGAAACCAGAAACAUAUACACAGGUGCUGCAUGGCUGUCGUCAGCUCGUGUUG